rnacentral:rRNA from 1 species
UACGGAGGGUGCAAGCGUUGUCCGGAUUUAUUGGGUUUAAAGGGUGCGUAGGCGGCUUUUUAAGUCAGUGGUGAAAGACAACAGCUCAACUGUUGCAGUGCCAUUGAUACUGAAGAGCUUGAGUACAGAUGAGGUAGGCGGAAUUUAUGGUGUAGCGGUGAAAUGCAUAGAUACCAUAAAGAACACCUAUUGCGAAGGCAGCUUACUAAGCUGUAACUGACGCUGAGGCACGAAAGUGUGGGGAUCGAACAGG